rnacentral:rRNA from 1 species
AGCAGCCGCGGUAAUUCCAGCUCCAAUAGCGUAUAUUAAAGUUGUUGCAGUUAAAAAGCUCGUAGUUGAAUUUCGGGGUUAGCAGGUCGGUCGUGCCAUUGGUAUGAACUGGUCUCGCUGAUCCCUCCCUCUUGACGAACUGUGAUGCCAUUAAUUUGGUGUCGCAGGGAAUCAGGACUGUUACUUUGAAAAAAUUAGAGUGUUUAAAGCAGGCUCACGCUUGAAUACAUUAGCAUGGAAUAAUGAAAUAGGACGUUUGAUCCUAUUUUGUUGGCUUCUAGGAUUGACGUAAUGAUUAAUAGGGAUAGUUGGGGGCAUUAGUAUUCAAUUGUCAGAGGUGAAAUUCUUGGAUUUAUUGAAGACUAACUACUGCGAAAGCAUUUGCCAAGGAUGUUUUCAUUAAUCAAGAACGAAAGUUAGGGGAUCGAAGACGAUCAGAUACCGUCGUAGUCUUAACCAUAAACUAUGCCGACUAGGGAUCGGAUGAUGUUAAUUUUUAAUGACU